AUUUCUGAUCUUAAGUACUUCAGGAAAAAAAUCAUAAAAGUUUUUUUUUUCAAAAAAAAUUAAGCCACCUAAGUGAUAUAUUUUAUAGAUAAUGAUUAUAUGUUAUCAAGAGGGGGACCUGACUAGCUUACCUAUUGAAAAAAGGUACAACUCGACAAAAGUCUGGGAGACAAGCCCCCAAGUGUAAGGAAAAAGAGGGAAUUUGUAUAGGAAGAGCAAUCCAAUUUGCAAUUGAAACAUAACUUAACUUAUGUACUUGUGGAGAGUGUCCCCGUGUAUGUAGUUUCUAUAAGAAUUAAAUAGAGCAAAAAGUGAGAUAAGUAACAUGUGAACUGACAGAAGAGGAUCAGACCAGGAAGUUCAUCCUGUUGCAUUAUUGGAGAAGAUAAGCUCUGGGUUUUCUUUCAAAUUUUGUAAGAAGGGAGAUCCACUUGUCAAUUCUUCAUUUCUCUCUUGUUUCUCUCGGUAGCUAGAUAAAGCUGAAAUUUUUCUUUUCUGCAUCCAAUAGGUGACUGUAUCGAACUAAAGAAUAAGCCACACAGAGACUUCUAUUUUAAUACUGUGCACCUUGACUACUCUUUGAAUCAUUAAUCUCUUCAAUAAUAGCUUAAUAGUGCCAAAACAUUUUGUGACUCCCUUGACAAUAUUUACAUUAAGUUAAGGGUGGUCCGCAUCCUCUUUAUCCAUAACUACCAUCUGUGUUUAGUUUUAACCAUCCUAGAUGAGGUCUGCACCAUUUUACAGUGCUAGUCCAUCAAGGUGAGUAUUUCUCAAUGUGUUACAGAUACAGAUCCAUUGGAAAUUUUAUUUUAAUGUUGUGUUGUUUGGAUUUUAGAAUCUAUUUUUUAGUUUGGAAAGUUGAUGUCUUCUCUUUGCUAAAUCUGCUGCAGCAGUGUGCUUAUUGUUCAGUUUUUUGUGUAAGAUGUUUAGAGGAACUCUUUGUUCUCUUUUUUUUUAUAAAUUUUUUACUGGCCGCAUGGCCAUUUCAUUAAUAAUCAUAAACCAAAUCUGGCAAAAGGCCCAUAAUUACAUAAUGCCUGAAAUAGAAAUUGUUUGGGUCCAGUCCACUUUCUAAAACCCUACCAUUAUUGAAGGACUGUACUUUCCAAAAAAGAGAACUUUCCAUCUUCUUCUUCAAUGCUACUCAUUGAUGACUCUAUUGCUGUGGAGCCCUCAUUCCCAUGAUGAAUAUACUUUUUUAUUAGCACAAGAUCUUAAUCUAGGUAAAAGCUUUCUUAUUUUCAACUGAUGAAGGUGGAUGGAUUUGUGGAGGUUGUGAUCUGAAGAGGAAUACAUCUGAGAGAGAUCCCAAUGGACCUGCUGUCAAGGUACACAAAUGAGGAUGAACAGACCAAGAGGUUUGAGACACAUAAUUUUAACGGCUCAUUUCCACAUCUGAAGACCAUCAAGAUCGACGACCUUUAUGGACUACUAAAAACAAAUUUGUGCUGCCAUUGGUAAAAUAUCUGCUCAAGCAUGCCAUUGUGCUAGAAAAGUUUGUCAUUUCUGCCACAUUCUUAGGGAGUGAUGCAUUUCCAGAUCUUGCUAAAAUGACACAGGAGUUCCUAAGCUUUCCAAGAUCCUCUCUGCACGCUUCAGUUGUCUUUUCUUAUUGAUAACCUUUGGCCUCUUAUCAUUUGAAACGAUUGCAACAUAUCGAACUAAUUUUGUAAAUAAAGCAAAGCAGUGGAACCUUGGCCCGUCAUGCAUGCUGGGGGUAUUACAGAAGGAAAGAAAUAGCUGGUGCUUUGAACGAAAUACUUUUUGUUACGUAGUCAGAAGGCUGCUGUGGUGACAGACUUAAACCCUCACGAGUAGCAUGAGUUGUAUAUAAUUUUUGUACUCACGAGCAUGGUCCUAGUGCUUGACCAGAUAUAUUCAUAAAAAUUAAAUUUUCUUUACCCAUCGAAAAA